rnacentral:pre_miRNA from 1 species
GGGGACAGGUAGCAGCACAGACUUGCUGUGAUGUUCACGUGGAGACGAGUUAAACAUCACUGCAAGUCUUAACAGCCACCCGCCCAGGG